AGAGUUUGAUCCUGGCUCAGAGUGAACGCUGGCGGCGUGGCUUAGGCAUGCAAGUCGAACGCGAAAGGCUUCGGCCGAGUAGAGUGGCGAAAGGGUGAGUAAUGCAUAGACAACCUACCUCCUGGACCGGAACAACCACUGGAAACGGUGGCUAAAGCCGGAUUGUCUGCCGCGGCGGCAUCGCCGCGUCAGUAAAUGGUUGCUCUCGGGCUUCUGCCCGGAGAGGGGUCUAUGUCCUAUUAGCUAGUUGGUGAGGUAACGGCUCACCAAGGCAACGAUGGGUAGCCGGACUGAGAGGUUGGCCGGCCACACUGGGACUGAGACACUGCCCAGACUCCUACGGGAGGCUGCAGUCGAGAAUCUUCCGCAAUGGACGCAAGUCUGACGGGGCGACGCCGCGUGCAGGAUGAAGGCCUUCGGGUUGUAAACUGCUGUUGCAUCUUACGAACACCCGGGAGUUAACAGCUCUCCGGGGUGACCAGGGUGUGAGGAAGCACAGGCUAACUCCGUGCCAGCAGCCGCGGUAAUACGGAGUGUGCAAGCGUUACUCGGAAUCACUGGGCAUAAAGCGCGCGUAGGCGGGCUGUCAAGUCGGUUGUGAAAUCCCUCAGCUCAACUGAGGAACUGCAUCCGAUACUGCCGGUCUUGAGGACGAGAGGGGAGAGUGGAACUUCUGGUGGAGCGGUGAAAUGCGUAGAUAUCAGAAGGAACGCCGGUGGCGAAAGCGACUCUCUGGCUCGUAUCUGACGCUGAGGCGCGAAAGCUUGGGUAGCAAACGGGAUUAGAUACCCCGGUAGUCCAAGCCGUAAACGAUGAGCACUAGGGAGAGGAGACCCCGAUGUCUUCUCUCCUGGAGCAAAUGUAUUAAGUGCUCCGCCUGGGGAGUACAGUCGCAAGGCCGAAACUCAAAGGAAUUGACGGGGGCUCACACAAGCGGUGGAGCAUGUGGUUCAAUUCGAAGCAACGCGCAAAACCUUACCUGGGUUUGACAUGCACGGAUUAGCUCCUGGAAACAGGGGCGACGCCCGAAAGGGUGGAACGUGCACAGGUGCUGCAUGGCUGUCGUCAGCUCGUGUCGUGAGAUGUCGGGUUAAGUCCCUUAACGAGCGAAACCCUUGCCGUUAGUUGCCAACGGGUAAUGCCGGGGACUCUAGCGGGACUGCCGUGGUUAACACGGAGGAAGGUGGGGAUGACGUCAAGUCCUCAUGGCCUUUAUGCCCAGGGCAACACACGUGCUACAAUGGUCGGUGCAAAGCGAUGCGAGGCCGCAAGGCGGAGCAAACCGCAUAAAGCCGACCCCAGUACAGAUUGUGGGCUGCAAUUCGCCCGCAUGAAGUUGGAAUCGCUAGUUAUCGCAUAUCAGCAGGGAUGCGGUGAAUAUGUUCCUGAGCCUUGUACACACCGCCCGUCAAGCCAUGGGAGCCGGCAGUACCCGAAGUCGCUGACUCAACCCGCAAGGGAGAGAGGUGCCUACGGUAAGGCCGGUGACUGGGACUAAGUCGUAACAAGGUAACC
rnacentral:rRNA from 1 species